GGCGCGAAAACUUUACAAUGCGGGAAACCGUGAUAAGGGGAUCUCGAGUGCCAGCAUAUAAUGUUGGCUGUCCAGAUGCCUAAAAAGCAUCUGUUAGCAAGGGCCGGGCAAGACCGGUGCCAGCCGCCGCGGUAACACCGGCGGCCCGAGUGGUAACCGCUAUUAUUGGGUCUAAAGGGUCUGUAGCCGGCCAGGUAAGUCCCUUGGGAAAUCUGGCAGCUCAACUGUCAGGCUGCUAGGGGAUACUGUUUGGCUUGGGACCGGGAGAGGUGAGAGGUACCUUGGGGGUAGGGGUGAAAUCUUGUGAUCCUCGAGGGACCACCAGUGGCGAAGGCGUCUCACCAGAACGGGUCCGACGGUAAGGGACGAAAGCUAGGGGCACGAACCGGAUUAGAUACCCGGGUAGUCCUAGCCGUAAACGAUGCUCGCUAGGUGUCAGUCACGGUGCGACCGUGAUUGGUGCCGUAGGGAAGCCGUGAAGCGAGCCACCUGGGAAGUAUGGCCGCAAGGCUGAAACUAAAGGAAU
rnacentral:rRNA from 1 species